rnacentral:rRNA from 1 species
GACGAACGCUGGCGGCGUGCUUAACACAUGCAAGUCGAACGGAAAGGCCUGCUUUCCCUUGGGGAUUGCGGGUACUCGAGUGGCGAACGGGUGAGGAACACGUGAGUGAUCUGCCCCCAACUUGGGUAUAAGGCUGGGAAACUGGGUCUAAUUCCCGAUAGGACUGCAGGGUGGUGCCGGUGGUGGAAAACGAUUUUCUAGUGGUUGGGGAUGAGCGCGCGGCCUAUCAGCUUGUUGGUGGGGUAAUGGCCUACCAAGGCGGCGACGGGUAGCCGGGCUGAGGGGGUGGACGGCGACAUUGGGACUGAGAUACGGCCCAGACUCCUACGGGAGGCAGCAGUGGGUAAUGGUGCCCAAUGUGCGGAAGCCUGAUGCAGCGACGCCGGGUGGGGGAUGACGGGCUUCGGGUGGUAAACUCCUUUCGACCGCGAGGAAGCCACCUGGUUGGAAGGGUGGUGACGGUAGUGGUAGAAGAAGCACCGGCUAACUACGUG